CCUACGGGAGGCAGCAGUCGGGAAUUUUGGGCAAUGGGCGAAAGCCUGACCCAGCAACGCCGCGUGAAGGAUGAAAUCCCUCGGGAUGUAAACUUCGCAAGAACGGGAAGAAUAAGCCGGUGUUAACACCACCGGUGAUGACGGUACUGUUUGUAAGCUCCGGCUAACUCCGUGCCAGCAGCCGCGGUAAUACGGGGGGAGCAAGCGUUGUUCGGAUUUACUGGGCGUAAAGGGCGGGUAGGCGGCCACUGUAAGUCGGUUGUGAAAUCUCCGGGCUUAACCCGGAAAGGUCAGCCGAUACUGCAGGGCUAGAGUGCGGAAGGGGCAACUGGAAUUCUCGGUGUAGCGGUGAAAUGCGUAGAUAUCGAGAGGAACACCUGCGGCGAAGGCGGGUUGCUGGGCCGACACUGACGCUGAACUGCGAAAGCUAGGGGAGCGAA
rnacentral:rRNA from 1 species